UACGUAGGGUGCAAGCGUUAAUCGGAAUUACUGGGCGUAAAGCGUGCGCAGGCGGUUAUGUAAGACAGAUGUGAAAUGCCCGGGCUUAACCUGGGAACUGCAUUUGUGACUGCAUGGCUAGAGUUUGGCAGAGGGGAUGGAAUUCCGCGUGUAGCAGUGAAAUGCGUAGAUAUGCGGAGGAACACCGAUGGCGAAGGCAAUCCCCUGGGCCUGCACUGACGCUCAUGCACGAAAGCGUGGGAGCA
rnacentral:rRNA from 1 species